GAUGAACGCUGGCGGCGUGCCUAAUACAUGCAAGUCGAACGCUUCUUUUCCCACCGGAGCUUGCUCCACCGGAAAAAGAGGAGUGGCGAACGGGUGAGUAACACGUGGGUAACCUGCCCAUCAGAAGGGGAUAACACUUGGAAACAGGUGCUAAUACCGUAUAACAAUCGAAACCGCAUGGUUUUGAUUUGAAAGGCGCUUUCGGGUGUCGCUGAUGGAUGGACCCGCGGUGCAUUAGCUAGUUGGUGAGGUAACGGCUCACCAAGGCCACGAUGCAUAGCCGACCUGGGAGGGUGAUCGGCCACAUUGGGACUGAGACACGGCCCAAACUCCUACGGGAGGCAGCAGUAGGGAAGCUUCGGCAAUGGACGAAAGUCUGACCGAGCAACGCCGCGUGAGUGAAGAAGGUUUUCGGAUCGUAAAACUCUGUUGUUAGAGAAGAACAAGGAUGAGAGUAACUGUUCAUCCCUUGACGGUAUCUAACCAGAAAGCCACGGCUAACUACGUGCCAGCCGCCGCAGUAA
rnacentral:rRNA from 1 species